CACGCUACAUCAGAUCCAAAACAAUAACACUGACUAGUCAGGCAUAAGUCGAUUCUUACGGUCAAAAUAUACGCGUUGUGCGUUCGUUAGAGAAAAUCGUCAAAAAUUUUUUUCGUGAUUACCGAUUUUGUUUAUUGAAUGUUUUCUCCUUAAGUGUUAUUUAUUGUUUAUUUUCGUUUCGUUAGUUUAGUUUGAUGUGUAAUACGAUAAUAUAGUGAGUGUGAUGCAUACCAUUCGAGUUGCAGUGGACCGCAGGUGAAAUAUAUUAUACUCAUCGGUUUCAGGCUAACGGUCUCGAGAUGUUAAUGGCAUGACUGGAACUCAAGUCACAAUGUCCACCGCGCAGCCCACGCUGACACUCAGCGAACUCCAAAAGGGAGAACUUGUGUGGUUUGACCCAGGUGUUGGCCAUGUCUUACCCGGAGAAGUUUUGGAGUACCAUAAACCUGCUCAAGUACUCACUGUACAAGCUGUUAUUGCAGGGAAAACGCAAAUAUUUUCGCUUACAAGUUCCAACGGUGUUAACCGUCGACAAGAUCUUGGUCAAAAUGGUAUUGAAGAUAUGAUACAACUUACGGACUUGAACGAGGCUUCGUUAUUGUGGAAUUUGAAAAUUCGAUAUGACAAAGAACUUAUAUAUACGUACACUGGGAGCAUAUUAGUGGCGGUAAAUCCUUAUAAAAUGUACGAUAUGUAUGGGUUGGACAUGGUAAAAAAAUACGAGGGCCAAAUUUUAGGAACAUUACCACCUCAUUUGUUUGCAGUCGGUUCUGCAGCUUACGGAAUGCUUCCAAGAGGAAAUCAAGUUGUCGUAAUUUCUGGUGAAUCGGGUUCUGGUAAAACGGAAUCUACUAAGCUUAUAAUGCAGUAUUUAGCAGCUGUUAAUAAAUCAUCAUCCAAUCUCAUUACCGAACAAAUUUUAGAAGCGUCUCCAUUACUGGAAAGUUUUGGUAAUGCCAAAACAGUGCGUAAUGACAACUCAUCCCGGUUUGGAAAGUUUUUAGAAGUCCAUUUCAAACAAGGAGUUAUCUUGGGUGCUAAAGUUACAGAAUAUCUAUUAGAAAAAUCAAGAAUAGUUACACAAGCUCCUGAAGAACGAAAUUAUCAUGUUUUUUAUGAACUAUUGGCGGGUCUUGCUGAUGAGGAGAAACUCAAGUACGGUUUGUUAUCGGCUGAUAAAUAUUUUUAUUUGAACCAAGGCGGAAACUGUGAAAUUGAUGGAAAAUAUGAUGGAGAAGAUUUCCAAUCACUUAUGUCUGCGAUGCAAGUUCUCGGAUUUACAUCGGAAGAACAAGACACAAUAUUUCGAAUACUGGCGUCAGUUUUACACUUGGGAAAUGUUUAUUUCCAUCGUAAGCAGCUAAAACACGGACAAGAAGGCGUUGAAAUUGGUUCUGAUGCAGAAAUUAGAUGGACAGGACAUUUGCUUCGAUUAGAUGUGGAUGGUAUCAAAGAAGCGUUAACAACAAAAACCACUGAAGCGCGUAAUGAACGUGUGUUGACAGCACUAAAUAUUGAUCAAGCUUUGGACGCUAGAGAUGCAUUUGCCAAGGCUUUAUAUAGUUCACUUUUUACAUGGCUCGUGGCUAGGAUUAAUCACAUUGUAUUCAAAGGAACCAAAAAGACGACAGCUAUAUCAAUUUUAGAUAUAUUUGGUUUUGAAGAUUUCAAGGAAAACAGUUUUGAACAAUUAUGUAUUAACUAUGCCAAUGAAAAUUUACAAGUGUACUUUAACAAGCACAUAUUUAAAUUAGAACAACAAGAGUAUGCUAAAGAAAAAAUUCAAUGGCAAAACAUUGCUUAUAAUGACAAUUUGCCAGUGAUUCAAUUGCUAUCGAAAAAGCCUGUUGGCAUAUUGCACCUUUUAGAUGACGAGUCCAAUUUUCCACGUGCUACCGAUGUAUCGUUUUUAGAAAAAUGUCAUUACAAUCACGCAUUAAACGAACUAUACUCUAGACCCAGAUUAAAUGGUCCGGAAUUUGGUGUUCGUCAUUAUGCCGGACCGGUGUGGUACAACGUUGAUGGUUUUCUAGACAAAAAUCGCGACACUUUAAGGCCUGAUGUCGUGCAACUUUUAAUAUCUAGCUCUUUACCUAUGUUGAGCAAAAUGUUUAGCUCUUUACGGAAUAAUUUUGAAGCUUCAAAAACAUUAAAUAAGGCCAACGGGAGAUUCGUUACCAUGAAGCCGAGAACGCCGACUGUUGCUGCCAGGUUUCACGAUUCACUUCAACAACUCUUAGAGUCUAUAUCUGGAUGCCAUCCGUGGUUUGUGCGCUGCAUUAAACCAAACUGUGAAAAAGUUUCGAUGAAAUUCGAUAUGCCUACGGUAUUGGAACAACUCCGAUAUUCAGGAAUGUUGGAAACAAUACGGAUCCGUAAGCUGGGUUAUCCGGUGCGUAUGAAAUUCAGCGAAUUUGUUGAUAGGUAUCGCGUUUUGGUGCGAAAACGAAAACUUCCGCCAAAAGGAACGCCUAACAGGGAAAUCUGUCAAACAAUUUUGGAAAAACAUUCGGACGAAUAUCAGUUGGGCACGAGCCGGGUAUUUCUGCGGGAAAAUCUUGAACGGCACUUAGAACGGGAACGAGCUGCCAUUCUGAACACGGCUGCAAUCACGCUCCAGCGAAACGUCAGAGGAUUCCUCGCCCGGACCAGGUAUACCGCAAAAAGACAGAGUGCGAUCAAAUUGCAAGCGUUCGUGCGUGGAUGGAUGCAACGAAGACGAUACGAGACUUUGAGACGUGGUGUGGUUAAAGCGCAAGCAACUUUCAGAGGUAGACGGCAGCGAAAACGAUAUAACCAACUGAAGGAGGAAAUGAAAAGAAAAGCUAACUUGGCGAAAGAGAGGGCUAAAGUCAAGGCUCAAAAAGAAGAACAGGAGAGAAAUGCUAAAUCACACGCUGUACCGAGUCUCAACGCAUUAGAUAUUCCAGCGGAACUCGCGUUAAUAUUCAAUAAAAUUGAAGAAUGGCAACCUUUACACAAUAAAAGACAAUUGGUGAAAGUAGUCGGUCCAAUCGUUGAGAUUCAAGAACAAUAUACUCUACCAAAUGAUAUUGAUCAACAUGCAUUUUCGAAGUUUACAAAUAUUUAUUUCAAAUCGCACGUAUGGGGAAUGAAAAAAGAACCCAUAAAAACACCAUUUCUCCACAAAAGUAAAGAUUCCGAUUACAUGGAUUCAAUCGCGAUUUUUAAAUUAAUACUAAGAUUUAUGAACGACACGUCAUUAUCUCCUAAAAAAGAACAGGCGUUGGCAGAUUACAUCAUUCACAAAGGUUUGGCAAAUGAACGACUGAGAGAUGAAAUUUUAUGUCAAUUGGUGAACCAGACGUGGCGUAACGAUAUUGAAGCAAAUAACGAAAGAUGCUGGUUGCUGAUGGCCAGCUGUCUUUCGGCGUUCCCCCCAACCGGACCACUAUACAAAUACUUAUUGAAAUAUGUUUCCGAUCAUGGUUAUGACGGCUACAAAAGCGUGUGUCAGAGAAAGCUGCUAUCGGGACACACCUGCACGCCGCCUGCCCGGUCUUCAGCUCCGUGUUUACUUGAAUGGCGGGCUAACUUGAAGAAGUUCAACACUGCGUUAGAAUUUACAAUGCCCGAUGGAGAGACGAUGACCGCUGGGGUAGAAUCGUGGACCCGAUGCCACGUGGUUGCUUCCGCGCUAUUAGCCAAGAGGGGUAUCGCUGAAUGUAACGGAUGGACCGUGGCGCUAGACAACGACCAGAGAAAUGGAUUCGAUUAUGUGUUCGACUCCAUAUCUGAGGUGGAAACUCCACCUGGAUAUCCUGUCGUCAGACAGCCGCCUCAUUCGCCGCAACCGUCGUCAACGAUGACUCCCAUUUCAAAGGUAGAACCCAUGUCUGUGAAUCGUCGACCGACCGUACCGCCACCUCAACCACCAAUGAUGAAACAGCAAAAAGUAAGAUCAGUAUCUCGAGAUCAUAGCGUAGAAAACGGUCUUUCACGGCAAUCUGCUUUGAACGACAGAUAUUUCGAGAAGACCAGUCGAUCCAGAAGUCUUGACAAUUUAAUAACACCGGUACCGCAAAUCGCGAUUGCUCCGAAAAAACUGGAUUCAUUGGGCUUAUCGCAUAGCAAGCUUAACGAGCGAUAUAUGUCAAUGGAGCGUAUACAAGAAACCGAAAAAGAUACCGACAGCGAGGACGAGAACGAUGAUGACGAUGACGAUGACGAUGAUGAUGAUGACAUUGCCAAGUCUGUCGAUGACGAUAAUUUAGAAUCAGUCAGCCAAAGGGGUGAAACAAGAAACUAUAAUGGCGCAUCAUCAGAUGUGAUGUCUCAUAGUCAAAUAGACUUCGACUAUCCAGAUAUUAAUGCUAGAAGUGAAGACGAUAAAGGUUCAUACAUAAAGGGCCAUCCUAGGUUCAUAAAAUCACAGUAUGCUGGUAAACGUGGUUCGCACUCUAUUAAGUCACAAAUGGAUAACAAACAUUCUGACAAGUCUGAAGCUAGGAGCUGUGCAAUGUCUGAUACAAGCGAAGCUCCAUCUUUAGCAUCGCACGUUAGACGGGUACGCGUGCCCUCGCAGGCGUCGGAUGUAGAUCAAUUCCUCGACGAUCUGUUUAAUCCAGUUCUGGACCAGCUGUCUGACGCCAGGUCACUAGCUGCGUCCAUCAAAGGUUCAUCGAAAAGCAAGUCCGUGGAAGACUGCGAAUCUUUGGACUCUCGCGAUUUCACUAGGAGAAUAAAGGGCGGAGGCAAUCGAUCGAUCGAAAGCAGUCGGGCAUCAAGGUCUAAUGAGAGUCUGUUGCAAGAUGGAGACUUUGAACCAUCGUUAGACAUCUCGAUGUUCGCACGGACCGUGAAAGGCGGUGGUCGAGGCGUUGCCUCUCAGCAACAGAAUGGUUCCGGACAACCCGGAAACGCUUCGUUCGGCAUGUCACCACUGAUCGGCUCGCCACCUGUUUUGCCCACCAUCCUUUCGCCGCCGUCGUUACUCAUGCCCGCUAUGAACUCACAGAGCAUGUUCAACACUCCGAACGGUGCAGGUCUCGGCGUACCGGCGAACACAUCCAACACCACUAGCAACGGGUCGUCGGGAGAUAGCAUGCUCGCGUACCAAACAAAUUUACAUCAGGCAUUCUUGCAAUCCGCCAUGGCGCAAAACAUCCAAAUUCAACAGCAAAUACUCGCGCAGAAUCAAGCUCUCCACCAGUUACUUCAACAGCAACAAUUAUUGCCACCGGUUGGUACUGAAAAUUCAUCAGGCGUCUGGAACAAUUCACCUCCUAAACAUAAGUCUACACCUACAAAUAAGUCUCAAGGACUCCGUGCUGGAUCACCACAUUCAACGUUUACGAAUGUUUUGAGUGAAUUAAAGAGUAGAAAAUCAUCUAUGGAAUCUAACGUUGGAAAAAGUUCUGUACCUCCACCACCUCCUAUGCCACCACCACCAGAUUUAUGCGAUCCUAGCGAAGUAAGGCCAUUCAUGGAUCCAUAUGGCCGAGCAAAAACUGUGCGCAUUGGAAAAUGGAGAUGGCCACCACCAAGUGAUGGCACUAGUAAUGGUGUACCCGGUGAAAUUAACGGGUUUCCAUCACAUCAAAGUUUUUUACAAUUUAAAAUGUCCAAACAUCAACAAAAUCAAAGACAUAAGCAAUCACAAGACUCAAGUCAAGAUGGAGAUCUGAAUGGAGUCGAAUGGGAAGAGUACGAGAUACAACAGCCCGAAGCAAUGAAGCAACCGUCACCUAAAGAGCAAACAGAAAUCCACAAAUCGUCGUAUAAAUCAUUGGAAGUUGGCGCGUUGAGACCUAGUCCAGGCAGCGUAGGUAAAUUAAGGAUUAGCAACGAAAUGAAACACAAGCUAGAAAUGGUGACAGCUAACCACAGUCUACGAUCGACGACCAGCAAGCCCAGACCACAAGCCAUGAAUAAUAUGCCUACGCCUAUACCAACGGCCGGGAAACUAGACACUGAUAGACGAUUACUUUUACAGCAACAACUCGCCGGACGAUGGGGUAGUGUGGACAGUGUUGAUUCUCAGAGCGUGGUCAAAGAGGACGCUUCAGAUGUUCAAUCAAAUAAUGUGAUACGCAAUCAAGUUGAACGAAUAGAGAACUCUGGUUGGCGAUUGCCACCACCACCGAUCACCCCAUCUAGAUCUAAUAGCUUUUACAACCAAAACAUGAAAAAGAAUAGUACUGGUCCUCCGGCUCCCAUACAGCCUGUGACGCGCGAAUACGAUCAGAACAAUAUGUUCCGGAAUGCAGUUCCGAACAACUACACUGCCGAACCACAGCACGAGAUCGAGAAAGGCCCAGAGUUCAACGGUCGUCCUGAAACAAGAAUACAAUCGCCUAUACAGAAUGAAGACGGACAAUCUACGAAACUGCUGCAAACGCCAGCCAACUCUUAUUUCACUUAUAACCGCGUACCGUGGAAAUUAAAUAUCCGGAAGGAAGUUUUCACCCCUAAAGAAUCGAUGUCUAGUCCGCUGGUAUUACAUUUGAUAUUCAGUCAAAUAGUCGGCGACAUGUUCAACAAAUUCCAUUCGGUACACGCCAGAAUAUCCGCCGAUGAACGCGAAGAGAUGUUAGACUUAUUGGAUCGUUUUGGAGUGACAGCUAGCAACAUGCAAACGGGCCAUCACAAAGCCAGUACCAAACGUUCCAUCGUUGAGCUGGCUCGUCAAUGGCCAUUGUAUUUUUCACGCAUAUUUCCGGUUUCGUGUGGUUAUCAGCACAGAGAAGUCGAAUAUUUAGCCAUUGCACACGCGGGCCUUCAUUUACUACGCAAAGAAGAAAACCAAUAUCAAAUUAUGCAAACAUUAACGUUUGAAGACAUUGCCGAUAUCUCGAUGGGUAAGGCUGGAGGCUCUGUACAGCUCACUUUAAUGUCGGGUGAAACAAUACCGUUCCAUUCUAAUAGAUCACGACAAAUACACUCAAUGAUGAGUUCAUUUUGGAAGGACGCUGCGCCACUUGGUCGACUUCCCCGUCAAAUGGAUGACAAGAUCCGUGCAGCUGAAUACAAAGGGUGGCAACAAACAAAUACGAAAUAUUCCAAACCAACUUCACCGUAUAAACAACAUGAAUCACCACCUCCUAUUCACUUUGCUGCAGAUGACGGUAAACAUUCAUUACUUCAAUUUGCAAUGUAUAAUUUCAGACACAGUUCAGAGAAGUUUGAUAUGCUAAAAUCGGCUAAUGGAGAAAUAAACGGUUCAUUGAAAGUCAUACAAAACUCCAAGAUGAAGAAUGACGAUUGGACGUGGAAAGAACAACUGGAGAUGGUAAAAUACACAAACGUACCCAUAUCCGAAUCACUGUUAAAAUUAGAUUCGGAAUUAGACGCACUGGCCAUCGAAUGCUUCGAGUGCGUUAUGAGGUACAUGGGCGAUUUGCCUACAACACCAGAGUUCACGGAAGUCAAAUGUGUUUACACCAUUCUUAUGCAUUGCCAUAAAUUCGAAAGUUUGAGAGAUGAAGUCUACUGUCAGCUAAUGAAGCAAACGACCAACAACAAGACGGAAACAUGUCAACGGGGAUGGCGUUUGCUCAGCAUAGUCGCAGCGUAUUUCACGUGCUCUGAGAAUCUGAGACCUUUCUUGCUGAAGUAUUUGGAAACGGCUGCUUAUGAUAAAAGGAGAGCUUUUCACGGUACUGCAAACGUGUGCCUGCAGAAUUUGCGUAAAACGUUAAGGUACGGCGGUCGAAAGAACGUACCCAGCGUCGAGGAGGUGACCGCUGUGUCGGCUGGUCGCAAUUCCAAGAGACAGAUGUACCGGUUGCCAGGUGGCAGCGAAACCGUGGUAAACACGAAGUCUACGACCGUAGUAGCCGACGUCAUUGCGGGUAUGUGUUCGCUGAUCAACGUCAACGACCCAUUGGAAAUGGAGGAAUUUUCGCUGUACUGUAUCGUCGAAGGCGAUGCGUUUACGAUGCCAUUGGCAGCGGACGAAUACAUACUGGACGUGACUACUGAACUACACAAAAACCAACAGGUGUUUUACUUGAUAUUCUGCCGGUCCGUUUGGUAUUUCCCUCUGCGACUUGACAGUCAACUAUACGUCCAAGUGCUGUUCAACCAAAUCGCACCCGACUACUUGGAAGGCCUCCUGUUGGUUUUACCUUUCGGUCAGUUACCCCAAGAUUUAUUGUAUGAAGUGUGUAGAUUAGCUGCUUUGCUGCACCGAGCAGCUGAUAUGGUUCAGCCACCGACGUUAAAAGAAACCAAAUUUCUUUUGCCCAAACCAGCACUUAUGCAAAAUGAAGUGAAUCCUCAGCAGCUGGUACAAAUGGUUCAAAACAAUUGGCCACAAAUUGAAACCUUACACAGCGUGGAAGCUAAAGCUCAAUUUUUAGAAAUUUUAAGCAAAUGGCCGCUGUUCGGAUCCAGCUUCUUUGCGGUCAAACGCAGUGGAGAUCAACAGAUAUUGGCUCUGAACAGAACCGGUGUCCAUUUCCUUCACAUUGUUACCCACAAAACCUUAUCAACAGUGCCAUUUAGUGAAGUGAUAUCGACUAGGAAAGUGAGAGCUGGCGAAGGUGCCACUCUCUACUUAGAGCUCAAGUGUGGCAACCUGUUCCAGCAAAGAGUGGCUAGACUACAAACUGACCAGGCCCACGAAAUUGCUCGGCUCGUCAGACAAUACAUAACUAUGCACCGACAUAAUGUCGGUGGUCAUUGAGACGACAACAACGCAUUGACGAAUGAAAAACAUUUUUAAGUUGUGCUCAAACAAAAUAUAGUGUGGUACUACAAAAAAACACAACGUACCUACUUAUUAAUUUC